rnacentral:rRNA from 1 species
GACGAACGCUGGCGGCGUGCUUAACACAUGCAAGUCGAACGGAAAGGCCCUUCGGGGUACUCGAGUGGCGAACGGGUGAGUAACACGUGGGUGAUCUGCCCUGCACUUUGGGAUAAGCCUGGGAAACUGGGUCUAAUACCGAAUAGGACCACGGCAUUCAUGUGCUGUGGUGGAAAGCUUUUGCGGUGUGGGAUGGGCCCGCGGCCUAUCAGCUUGUUGGUGGGGUAAUGGCCUACCAAGGCGACGACGGGUAGCCGGCCUGAGAGGGUGACCGGCCACACUGGGACUGAGAUACGGCCCAGACUCCUACGGGAGGCAGCAGAGGGGAAUAUUGCACAAUGGGCGCAAGCCUGAUGCAGCGACGCCGCGUGAGGGAUGACGGCCUUCGGGUUGUAAACCUCUUUCGCCAGGGACGAAGCGCAAGUGACGGUACCUGGAGAAGAAGGACCGGCCAACUACGUGCCAGCCGCCGCAGUAA